UUUCGAUUAGCUCAGCUGGCAGAGCACCUGACUCUUAAUCAGGGUGUCCAGGGUUCGUACACCUGAUCGCGCA
rnacentral:tRNA from 1 species